rnacentral:SRP_RNA from 1 species
AACAAAUGUAAUCUAGCUACUUGGAGUCCAAGGUGCGGGAUUUCGCGGGACCAGGAUUUCUGGCAUAUGGGUGCUCAUGUUGAUGGAUAGUCUACGUUAAGCACAGCGCCAAAAUGGAUGACCUAUAGGAGGGUGGUUUGUCCAGGUAGACUAAGGAGAGGCAGACCGACCCAGGGGAAACCCGGCAGGCAAGCGUCCUUGCGUGGUGCGGUAGCAGGAUAGUGCCUGUGAAUGGUAGCUGUGUAACAGCCCGGACGGCUCGUGGAGAUCAA